CUGGCUGUGUGCCUAAUACAUGCAUGUCGAGCGGAGUUCUUCGGAACUUAGCGGCGAAUGGGUGAGUAACACGUACUUAACGUACCCUUUAGUUUGGGAUAACGACUAGAAAUGGUCGCUAAUACCGGAUACUUAUGUUAAUCGCAUGAUUAAUAUAUAAAAGAAGCGUUUGCUUCGCUAGAGGAUCGGGGUGCGUAACAUUAGCUUGUUGGUGAGGUAAAGGCUCACCAAGGCGAUGAUGUUUAGCGGGGUUGAGAGACUGAUCCGCCACACUGGGACUGAGAUACGGCCCAGACUCCUACGGGAGGCAGCAGUAGGGAAUUUUCCACAAUGGACGAAAGUCUGAUGGAGCGACACAGCGUGCAGGAUGACGGCCUUCGGGUUGUAAACUGCUGUUAUAAGGGAAGAAAAAAUCAUAGAGGAAAUGCUAUGAUCUUGACGGUACCUUGUCAGAAAGCAACGGCUAACUAUGUGCCAGCAGCCGCGGUAAUACAUAGGUUGCAAGCGUUAUCCGGAAUUAUUGGGCGUAAAGCGUCUGUAGGUUGUUUGUUAAGUCUGGUGUGAAAACUUGGGGCUCAACCCCAAAUUGCAUUGGAUACUGGCAAACUAGAGUUAUGUAGAGGUAAGCGGAAUUCCUUGUGAAGCGGUGAAAUGCGUAGAUAUAAGGAAGAACACCAACUUGGCGAAGGCAGCUUACUGGACAUACACUGACACUGAGAGACGAAAGCGUGGGGAGCAAACAGGAUUAGAUACCCUGGUAGUCCACGCCGUAAACGAUGAUGAUUAGCUGAUGGGGAACUCAUCGGCGCAGCUAACGCAUUAAAUCAUCCGCCUGAGUAGUAUGCUCGCAAGAGUGAAACUUAAAGGAAUUGACGGGGAUCCGCACAAGCGGUGGAGCAUGUGGUUUAAUUUGAAGAUACGCGUAGAACCUUACCCGCUCUUGACAUCUUCCGCAAAGCUAUAGAGAUAUAGUGGAGGCUAACGGAAUGACAGAUGGUGCAUGGUUGUCGUCAGCUCGUGUCGUGAGAUGUUCGGUUAAGUCCUGCAACGAGCGCAACCCUUGUCCUUAGUUAGAUGAUCUAAGGAGACUGCCCGAGUAAUUGGGAGGAAGGUGGGGACGACGUCAAAUCAUCAUGCCUCUUACGAGCGGGGCAACACACGUGCUACAAUGGACGGUACAAAGAGAAGCAAGACAGCGAUGUGGAGCAAAUCUCAAAAAACCGUUCUCAGUUCGGAUUGUAGUCUGCAACUCGACUACAUGAAGUCGGAAUCGCUAGUAAUCGUAGAUCAGCUACGCUACGGUGAAUACGUUCUCGGGUCUUGUACACACCGCCCGUCACACCAUGGGAGCUGGUAAUGCCCGAAGUCGGUUUUGUUAACCACGGAGACAACUGCCUAAGGCAGGACUGGUGACUGGGGUGAAGUCGUAACAAGGUAUCCCUACGAGAACGUGGGGAUGGAUUACCUCCUUUCUACGGAGUACAAAAAAACACUUUUAAGUGUUAUUAACGACUUUUACUGACUAUUAUUUUUAAAUCUGUGUUAUGUUGCUAUUGUUAAAUAGUCCAAUAGUGUAUAUCUAGUUUUGAGAGAACAAU
rnacentral:rRNA from 2 species